rnacentral:rRNA from 1 species
UAACGCGUGGAUAACCUGCCGUAUGCAGGGGGAUAACAGUUGGAAACAGCUGCUAAUACCGCAUAAGCGCACAAUACCGCAUGGUACUGUGUGAAAAGAUUUAUCGGCAUACGAUGGAUCCGCGUCCGAUUAGCCAGUUGGCGGGGUAACGGCCCACCAAAGCGACGAUCGGUAGCCGGCCUGAGAGGGUGGACGGCCACAUUGGGACUGAGACACGGCCCAAACUCCUACGGGAGGCAGCAGUGGGGAAUAUUGCACAAUGGGGGAAACCCUGAUGCAGCAACGCCGCGUGAGUGAAGAAGUCAUUCGUGAUGUAAAGCUCUAUCAGCAGGGAAGAAAAUGACGGUACCUGAGUAAGAAGCCCCGGCUAACUACGUGCCAGCAGCCGCGGUAAUACGUAGGGGGCAAGCGUUAUCCGGAUUUACUGGGUGUAAAGGGAGCGUAGACGGCAGCGCAAGUCUGGAGUGAAAUGCCGGGGCCCAACCCCGGAACUGCUUUGGAAACUGUGCAGCUCGAGUGCAGGAGAGGUAAGCGGAAUUCCUAGUGUAGCGGUGAAAUGCGUAGAUAUUAGGAGGAACACCAGUGGCGAAGGCGGCUUACUGGACUGUAACUGACGUUGAGGCUCGAAAGCGUGGGGAGCAAACAGGAUUAGAUACCCUGGUAGU